UGGAAGGGUGGAUGCGAUACAAGGGUCACCCAGCAAGUUAUGAUCAGAGCGUGGAAUCCUGCCUCCUAACUUCAGAAUGCCUGCUCUCAUCACUAGCGCCACAAGGUUCUUCGGGGAUACCGUGCACGUGCACAAAGCUUAAAAAAUAGAUCAUGUUGUUGGUGCACCAUAUUCAUGAGAAAAGUUGUGGGAAGCUACUGCAAGAGAACACGGGCUCACACUGCCAGUUUCUGCAUAUAUGAGAGGGAGGCUGGCGGCAGGAUGGAUGGGGCCUCUUUGAAGGGGAACAUGCGAUCUGAAAUGCAAUCAUCCUUGGGCCUAUCUCUAACUGCCCAUCUGCUGCAUGGCACAAAAUACAGACUCCUGUGUCAAAUGAAGUUGAUUACUGGACUGACGGAUGCAACCUACCCUGUUGUAACCGGCACAGUCCCAGGCAAAGCCUGUUGCCUGGAGUCAUUAUUAAUAGAAUCUCUUUCACUCUCAGAAGCUCUCUCUUUUAGAAGAUAAAUGAUAUGGCCACACUAUUUAAAUACAGAAAGGAUGUUUUCGCAGACGUUUCAUUUCUCAAAUCAUUAGAAGGACUAGAUGAGUCCUUCUAGAAAGGACUCAUUAGAGAGGACUGAGCUGAGCCAAUAUGAGAAAAGCAACAUUGAGAAAAGCUGAGUGACUUUCCCCAGGAGGGACCAAGUAAAACCAAGGGCAACCCAACCCAAAUGGCACAACAAUGACAUAACCGUGAUCCAUUUAGUUGGAAACUAAGCAGAAGCUUCACUUUAAGAAACCGGAAAUGCUUGA